AUAGCUUCCACCUUAAAAGUCCAACUUACAGUGUGUUUAUUGUUACUGCUUCACCAUUCUGGCAGCGACGAUGGCGGAUAAUAACAACAUGCUACCACAUGGCGGAAUACACAGACGACUGGAGUUUAGAGGGCCAAACACCCAUCACACCUGGUGACUGGGUCCUCAUCAAAGUCAUAAAGCGGAAGUGCUGCUCUAGUCCAAGGUGGGACGGGCCUUUUCAAGUUCUGCUGACAACACCUACUGCUGUGCGGAUUGCAGAACGCCCCUCCAGGAUCCACUUGUCGCACUGCAAAAGGCAGGUACCACUGGCAAGCAGCUCACCUGGAGAAUGGAACAUUACGCACGUAUACCACACUAACGUCUGGUACAGAUAUGCCACCAUGAUUGCCCGAGUUAGAAAUCGGACAAAGUGUUAUGUAUGUACUAAAAUGCCUGUGUCAUCAACACACCCUAACCUUGAUGCAAUUUCACUGGAUGUAAACCUGACUGAGUGUGUCACAGAAUUUGCUUUAAAAGGAAGAUUAACAAAUAGAGCUGUACUUUCUCCCAACACAUUGCAAAAUGGGACAAUAAUAUGGCAUGAAGUUCGACCAUCGUGUGCCUCAAUGUAUGCGUUUCGACAGGUUAAUCUUACAUCCUCAAUAACUACUUAUGUACACACUGCGAAUAAUGACCAGUCUGCUGAAGGUAAAGACGAGAUUCGUACAACUUGCCCAGUAGGGUACAACUGUUCCCUUAGAGCGUAUCAAGAUCAUCCUGCAAACAAAACCACUUGCGCUAUUGAUAAGUAUUAUUGGGAUUGCGGACACAAACUGUAUUUGCGCCUGCCAGCAUGCUGGGGAGGCGUUUGCACACCAGUGUGCAUACAAGAUCAUACAUACAUCUUGUCGGCAGCAAGCCAAAUUGAUAUGCAGUAGCGGAAAAAACGAGACAUCAAAAUGUCAGGAUUAUUUUAACCAACACGUUCACACCAAGGAAGGAGACAGAAGUAAGAAUCACAACACGUGUUAAGUAACUUUGCAAAGUGAGAGCAACUACAAGAACAAGCAUCGCGCUUAUCUCUCCCAACUCCUCUGAGGUGCCUGUCCUUGCGCAGCUCUUUUUAUUAAGGCUUGAGUAGGUGUUAUCACAUUACAUGACCUUUUAAGGAAUUGUUUGUUGUCAGUGCCUGGAGGUGUGGGGGUUUAUUGCCUUGUGGAAUGUGCAUUGUAGUACUUUUCCAAAUGCUCUUGUUUCCAGUGAACAAGGGUGCUAUCAUCUUAAUGCAGUUACACCAACACUGUAUUUUUAUGCAAUAACAUAUAAUUUUUUUCCAUCAUUUCCCUCCUGUUUAUCAAAUAAAAAUACAUUACUCAUCAUACUGUCACAUUUCACAAUGAUUUUCAUGACAAUAACCAUAACAUGUAUUUCAUCAUUGAUGUACUUCAAGCUCUUGUCUCGCAAUCAUCAUAUUGUUCUUCUUUCAACAAAGUCAUAUAUUCAUCACUCAAGAUCAAUCCGGUGACAGUGCCAUGUACCAUUUUGGACAUCAUGUUAUGAAAGCAUGGCAAAAUACAUCCAUUAAAUAGACAAAACAACUAUGAUUUAUAAUUUUCACAAAUACACUUGUCCAUCUACCAGAUGUAAACCAUGUCAAGGUGUUCAAACCUUUGUUCACAUAAUCUUGUGAUUUAGCAUUUCUUAUAGUUCACAUUCUUUGUAUGGCUUCAGCAAUUACAUUUUCAGGAAUAUAUGUACAACAUGUUUCAUUGAUCAUGGCGCAAACUCCUCCUUAUGCCGCAGUUAAUAUCCAGAACUAUUCAAUUUUCUAAAACCAUUAUCCCCAUGAAAGGUCAUUUCCUCAUUAUUUGUUUCCCAUGCUUUAAUGCUCGUAUUUAUAAAAAUAGACAUUGCAUCUCGUGUAGGGUGCAUUGAGGAAGCAGGCAUCUUUGUACAUACGUAACAACUGGAUCAAUUUAUUUUAUUUUAUUUUUUACUUUUACAAUCAUUUAAACGUACCUGUACCAUGUAUUCGUUAAAUAUAUAUGUGAUACAUUCCAACCUUCAUGGAGUAUGUCAUGAUGUUCUUUCAACACAAAUCGUGGUCUUUUGGCAAUAAUAUCAAUACCAUUUUCUUCCCUUCUAUGAAAAAGCCAUAUCAGUGGUGGAAUCAUUAACACCACACAACAAUACUACACGUAAUAUUGCUCUUGGCAUGCAGUCAAUGCGAUGUCGCAUGGUCUUUUCAAUUCCUGGUUUCUUCUUAAGUCAGAAAGCAAUCAUGUUUCUAUCUCCUGAGAGGGGGAGGUGACUAACACGUCAGCUCUCUGUUUGUAUCUAACAGUUUUCUUGUCCCGUUCUUGACCAUUUGUGUGCAUUAUUCUGCUUCUGUGCCACUUCUCAUUCUCGCCCCUUCAGGAACGACAAAAGAAGGACGGCCCACGAUGGUUUGGAUCGCACUUUACCCUCCUGUUGAUGCAGGAGGGGCACUGGAUACCCUCUCAGUCACUUCCUUCUCGAUGCUCAGGUCGUGCAACCUCACAGCUCCUAAGAAGUUGAGGGAGUUUUAGAGCGCAAGCCCCCCUCUUCACUUACGUUGAGACGGAUAGGCUCUAUAUGCCUAACCCCCUUUGUAGUCAGACUCCGCCCCAUCGAAACCGCAUCCGUUUUUUUUUUGUGUGCCGCACACUUGCACACUGCUAUUGCUUCAGGAAGUAACACUGCUUCAAGCAAUAAACUGAGAAGCUCUUUCCGGCUGACGUUGUCAUUCCUCUAUUCUUCCAUUGUGCAGCAAAUACAUGAGAACAACUGAGACUGUAUGUGGACCUUUGAGUGUCAGCUGGUGAAACAACACAAUAUCCGCUGAUUCCUGCACGGCCAUUGCAGCUGCAACUACAGCCUGCACACAAAUUGGCGUUGUUCGUGCAACUGCAUCAAGCCUAGUUGAAUAGUAUGCUACUGGCCUGAGUUUUGCUCCAUGUUUUUGCAACAAAACUGAGGUCGUGUGACCGUUUCGAAAAUCAACUGUCUGUUCAAAUGGGUUUUCCAUCCAUCCAUCCAUCCAUUUUCUGAGCCGCUUCUCCUCACUAGGGUCGCGGGCGUGCUGGAGCCUAUCCCAGCUAUCAUCGGGCAGGAGGCAUACAAACAAACAACAUUCGCACUCACAUUCACACCUACGGGCAAUUUAGAGUCCCCAAUUAAUGCAUGUUUUUGGGAAGUGGGAGGAAACCGGAGUGCCCGGAGAAAACCCACGCAGCCACGGGGAGAACAUGCAAAGUCCACACAGGCGGGACCGGGGAUUGAACCCCGCUCCUCAGAACUGUGAGGCUGACGCUCUAACCAGUCGUCCACCGUGCCGCCCAAACGGGUUUUCAUAAUUUGGUAAUGCCAAUACUGCUGUUCCUGCCAAAAUUAUUUUCAAUUCACAAAAUACUCUCUCUCCUUCCUCUGUCCAUUGAAUUUUGUCUGACAUUGUCAUUGGUGUUCAAUUAAUCUAAUUUUGCAACGGUGUUGUUAUCUCUGCGUAAUUAGCUACCCAACUCCUACACUAAUUGCACAGCCCCAAAAAAGACAUCAUCUGUUGUUUUGUUUCAGGUUGUGGAGCUGACAACAUGGCUUCUUUUCUCAUUGGGUCCACAUGACGACUGCUUGUCGUCAACAUAUAACCUAAAUAUUUCACUUCUGUCACACAAAAUUGUAAUUUAGCUUUGU